UUUUAGUUUUUCAAAAAAAAAAAUUCCUUUUUCUUCUUUUUUCUCUGAAACUCCCCCCUCUUGCUCCGGCCACAAGGCCGCUGCGACCACCACCUACGGUGGUUGAAAAAAAACUUUUUUUUAAUCCUUUCAAAAUCCUAGAGUUAGAUCUAGGGAUAAAACACUUAAAAAAGGCCAAGAUCGGUGAAAAAAAGAAAAAGGAAGAAGAAACCAUUCGCUCUCUUCCCUCUCCGGUGAAGCCCUCAACUAGGCUUCUCAAAUCGAAGGUGGUUCUCGACGACGGCUCUUAACAAGUGGUGAUGGCAGAGGGGGUGUUAGAUGGCAAGCCUGCCGACAUGGUGAGGUUGCGGCGCGAGAGAGAGCUAGGGUUUUUGAAAUUUUUAGGUUUUGGGCUUUUGGGCUGCUGGGUUAUUGGGUUUAGUAGGUUUGGGUUUGGGUAGUUUAGGUUUAAGCUUGUAAUUUGGGCUAGUCUUUUUUUUUUUUUGUAAGUGGACUUUGAUAUUAUUAUUAUUUUUUAGUUUUUGUUUUGUGGGUCGAACAAAUUUGAGCCAUUACAAUAGCAACGAAAGAGAAAGAGAAAUGCAACAUGUUACCAAUCAAA